CUGCUCCCCGUGGCCUUUCCCAGACAAGGCCACGAGGCGGGGCUUCCGGGCCGGUUGCGUGACGUCACAGAGGGAGGCGUGCCCGGAGCCAGCCUCUGCUUCCCGAUUGGCGGGCGCGCGGCCACACUCACCGCCACUGCUGUCGGAGCGGACGCCGUGGGAGUAGAAGGCGGAGUGGGGCGAGCGUCUCCGUAGACAGCGCGAGGCAGUGCGCAGUAGAGCGGCUUCAACGAGUCGCGGUCCCCCGAGGGCACGUUCCGGUAGCGCCGAGCGUUUGGGGAGGCUCACGCCUUUCCGCGGGACGAUGGGACAGCGGAGGGGUGCGCGCUGCGGUUGGACCGCUCCCUGCAGCGGCAGGACAGAGUGUGACCAAGCUUCCGGGAGGUCACCCGAGCGUGGCUAUUUCGGGCCUCUGACCUCAGCGAGGAAAGUCCCAAAAACACAGCCCCACCCUCCCCCUCACUCUCCAGAACACGCUCCGCCUCUUCCCUCCACCCCAAACUCAGACCUAAAAGAGCUGCCGGACGAGGAGUCUGCAGACCUGGUUUCUAGCCUUAGCUCUGUGUGACCCGGCGCAAGAGUCAUGCUUUCUGGACUUCAGUCUGCUCAUCUGCAGACUGAAGCGGUACCUGCAUUCAAUGAUGUAAUGUAUAAAGUGCCCAGCGCUGGACUGGCACGUACUAGGCGCUCAGUAGAUGCUGAUUUCUUUCUCCCUGAUCCUGACCCUGCCACUGAUUGGCUCUGUGGUCUGGAGCAAUUUCGCUUAACUUCUGGGGACUCACUUCCCCAUCCUAGAAUGAGAGAAUUGUCCUUCUAGCCCUGAGGUUCUGGGAGCUAAGACUUCUUGAGUCACUUAGUGAGUGAUGAGCUGAGACCAGACCCCACGUGCUGGUGUCACUUGACUUCUCGGAGGUCCCUCUAACAAAGGAGCUUCCUCAUCCUCCCAGAGAUGGCUCUAAUGAGGUUGUGCUUAAGAGGGCUGGACCUCCCAGAGGUUCUGCCGGGUCUUAGGGUCUGCAGGGACCUUAAAGGGCAUCCCAGACAACCUUCCUCAAUGUUCCUUCCAAAGUUGGGUCACUCCCCUGCAUAAAACCUUUCCAUGGCUCCCUAUGGCCCUCAGGCUACUCAGCAAGACCCUGGGCUUCUAGUCUCAGCCGAGCCCCCUCCCCUCUCUCCCAGCCAGGUUCUAGCCAGACUGAGCUGCUUUCAGCUCUCUUUCCUCUCUUCCAGGUGUUUGCACAGAUGGUUCCCUCCCUGCCGCAUCCUCUUUCACCUGGCUAACUCCUCAUCCUUGACCAUCAUGGGACGCGGUGGAUCCUGACCCCUAAUAUAGGUCCCCGUUCACUUGAGAACUGGGGUAUAAGUCCCAUGAGAUCUCCUUAGGUUCCCCAACUCUCAGAAAAAAAAAAAAAGAAGAAGAAGAAGAGAGAGAGAAAAGAAUACCAGGAAACUAUGAAAAAAAGAAAAAGGAACACUAAUCUUGCUACUAUAGAUAGUAGUAUUUCAAGCCUCAAUAGUUAAAACAACUUGAUUUGGGUGCAGGAAGAGACAAACAGACCAAUGGACUGGAAUAGAAUGUCCAGAAAUAGACCCAAUUGUACAGAGAUUUAGUAUUUGAUAAAGGUGGCAUCUCAAAGUGGAGAACAGGCUAAUAAACAGUGUUAGGACAACUGGGUAGCCAAGAGGGAAAAAAAAAUUGGAUCUGUGCUUCACCUCGAGUACCAGGCUAAGAUCCAAAAGGAUCAAAGAUGUAAAUGUUUGAAAAAUCAAAAUUAAACCAGAAAAGCACUAGAGGAAAACAUGAGGAGACUCUAUCAUCUCAUCAUGGGAAAAGUCUAACCAUGACUCAAAAACCAAAAAGCCACAAAAAAUGAUUGAUAAGGUCAACUAUAUAAAAAUCAAAAACUUUGCAUGGUAAAACACUAUAAAUAAAGUCAUAAGACAAAUGACAAAUAGAGGGAAAUAUUUGCAACUCACAUCACAGACAGAGGGUCAUCUCUUUAUAAAGAAUUCCUGGAAAUUCAUUAAAAGGAUCAACAGUCAACA